rnacentral:rRNA from 1 species
UACGUAGGGCGCAAGCGUUAUCCGGAAUUAUUGGGCGUAAAGAGCUCGUAGGCGGUUUGUCGCGUCUGCCGUGAAAGUCCGGGGCUCAACUCCGGAUCUGCGGUGGGUACGGGCAGACUAGAGUGAUGUAGGGGAGACUGGAAUUCCUGGUGUAGCGGUGAAAUGCGUAGAUAUCUGGAGGAAUACCGGUGGCGAAGGCGGCAUCCUGGACCGACAUUGACGCUGAGGAGCGAAAGCUAGGGGAGCAAACGGG